GAAUGCUACAAUUUAUUAAUUAAUUCUUUUAAACAAAACAUCACAGUUUCAGACUUGGCUUUACGUAAACUCUGCUUAUUUGAUAGUACGAAGACAGUUCAUAAAUAAUUUAUUUAAAAAUUAAAUUAAACAGAUAUCCACACGGAUACAAAUUUAUCUUCACAGCUUUUUACUAUUAUCAUUUAUUCUAUACUUUCUAAAUUAAAACUUUUUCUAUUUUGCUAGUCUAGUGGUUUUUGUGGUACUAGGAUGUACCAUUCAAAAACCACUAGACUAGUCAACAAAAGCAUUUUUUGUUCAUAAAGUUAAUAUAUUAUGCAUCCUUUACUGGUUUUAAGUUACUUUCAUGUAGUAUAAAUGCAGCAUGUUUAGCCAUUAUUGAUUCAGGAAUCCCCAUGAAGCAUACUAUAGCUGCUGUAGACGCUGUUUUAUUAGAAGAUGGAAAAAUAGUUGUAAAUCCUACGUCGAAAGAGGAAAAAUUGGCCAAAGCACAGUUCACCUUAGCUUUCGAGACAGUCAAGUUUCGGUUAGUCACGAUGAACACUUGCGGUCGCUUCACUCUGAAAGAAUUCGAAAACUGCGUGGAAGCGUGCCGUUCCGCAGCCGGUAAAGUAGUUGACUUCUAUCGUUCUCUGAUCUCUAGGAGAUUCAGCAAACAGAAAACAUCAGACAUGCAACACGAAGUGGAUCGGGUAUCCGAGACCUUUCACAAAAACUUCAACGUUAACAAAGAGGAAUCCGAGGAUUCGGACUGAACACAGUUAAAUCCCCUUCUGUACAUACUUUCAUAAUAAAUUUUAUGGCUAUUACUUAAAUUAGUCUCGUUUUUGCGACUUGGUCUGGUAAGAAAAUUGAUUCCUUUCUUAAGCAAGAGGUGGCACAAACUGAAAAAGUUUUUCUUGGCGAGGAUAUUCAGUUGUCGAAACUCGUAUAUCACUAGAUUAGUUCCGGUGUCAGUUCGGAUGAUAUGUCCCGGCUGCAUUCGACAUAUUAAUUACCUUCUGUAUCAAAGUGUCGAGUGCCAUCAAACCGGUACUCCCUUCGAUAUAUUUUAAUAUGGACCUAGCGAUUGUCGGCUGUCCGGCCAUCACCAUUUACCUCGGAAAGGUUAGAAAAAUGCAAGUUGUAAACCUUAGGAAAAUCGAUAAUGAUCUAUCGAUUGUAAUUGUGGGAUACUCUACGAAUGGGGGUUAAGUUGCUCCGACUGCAACUGGGCUCGGAAUGAAGAUUGUAAAGUUGUUUCUUCGUAGACAGGACCACCGACGUACGCGCUUGACAGGAAGUGGAACGUGUAACAGAUACGAUAACUUUUUUCAAGAAGGGUAACAAAGAUCUCCAUCGUUAGAGCAACGGUUGACAGGAAGCAGUUUUGCAUCCGACUAUCUGCAGACGUACUGUACGUAUGAAUAUUUAACACCGUAACUCGAUACAUCAGAUUUCGAAUGGCGUGCUUAUCUGGCGUAAAAUCCCAUUUAUUACGUUGUGUAAUAAUUAUGAAUUACUUUAAUUACCGUUAACGGGAUCCAAAAAAUUAAGAUAUCAAAAAAAUGCCAUUAGUGAUUGCCGAAGCCGACAGA
rnacentral:misc_RNA from 1 species